rnacentral:rRNA from 1 species
UACGUAGGGAGCAAGCGUUGUCCGGAAUCAUUGGGCGUAAAGCGCGCGUAGGUGGCCUCAUAAGUCCGCUGUGAAAGUCAAAGGCUCAACCUUUGAAAGCCGGUGGAUACUGUGGGGCUAGAGUACGGAAGAGGCGAGUGGAAUUCCUGGUGUAGCGGUGGAAUGCGCAGAUAUCAGGAGGAACACCGGUGGCGAAGGCGCCACUCUGGGCCGAAACUGACGCUGAGGAGCGAAAGCGUGGGUAGCAAACAGG